UUAAUGUGCCUACUGGAAAAAGGAAAAUUACAUAGGCGUUCACAUCAUCAUGUCCUAUUUAUUAGCCAGCACUGACCAAGAUCUUCACACCCUUGGGAUAGGUCCAGUUCUCUAUGUUCCAAACCACCUCUAUGUUCCAAAAGGGGGUGGUGGCGAACUGGCGAUUCUGAAUGAGGAGUCAGCAGCUGUGAAGAGAGGAGACAGAUAAGUGAUGGGGGAGGAGGGACAUAGGAGGGAUGGGCCUUGGUGAAGAGGGAGAAAGCAAGACAGGAGGAAGGGAUGGAAGAAAAAGAAUAAGGAACAAGGGGCUAGGGAAAGGAACAAGGCCAAGUUCCAUGAUACCAGUGACCGUAUACCUAUGUCUUAUCCAUUCAUUCAACAAGUAUUGAGUGCAUGCCCCUAUUCUAGGUACUGAGGCUAUAGCGAGGAACAAAAGAAAGAAGAUCCCUGCUCUUAACAUGCCUGCAUUAAAGAGAGACAAAUGUCAAGCAGGAAUAAGUGGUAUGUGGAGUAUACAUGUUUUGCAUUCCAAAUUCACCCUUUUGCAAAUCAAACUCACCUUAGGGGUGACAAUAGAGACCCUGAAAAUGGAUAUAUCACCACAUAUUGAAUCAAGCUCCGGAAGUCCACUACAAACACAUUUGCACUGGCGAACGCAAAUCACAUCGUCUGAAUCAUCGAGAUCCAGAUCAAGAAACCCCAUUGUUGGACACAAUAAUCCACCUAGAUACAAUCGUAUCAGUCAUGAUAAAAAAAAAGGUGUUAAUAAAAUGUCAUGAAGAUAGAAGAACAAUGAAUAAAUCUGCUGAAAUCUCUGGGAUUAAUAAAAAUACAAUAAAGUCUAUUAUUAAUUAAUAUAACAAAUGGCAGUGAAUUGAUAGAAAAAAUGCAUCGCUAUUAAACAAAAUUGACCAAAUAAUUGAGGAAAAUCCGUGCAUAACUUUUACGGGGAAUUCGUGACGUCCUCGAAUCCGAACGUGGAAUUAAGCAUAAAUUUCCUUAGGAAUGGACAGGAAGAAUUAUGGAUCACAUGAAAGUGUGCAUCAUCACUACUAGUUGAUUGUCGAAAGUCAGCACAAUUGAGAUGUGCAAAGUGUACGCAUGAAUUUUUCUUGAAACGCCCCCUAAGCAAGACGAAAAACAAUAAUAUUCAUUGAUGAAUCAGGAUUUAAUUGCCAUCUUCAGCGAACGAAGGUGAAAUCGAAAGUUAAUACACCAGCUCAUGGGACCGUGCCUACAUAGGACGAAAUGUUUAAUUACAGCAAUAAACAUUCAGGGAAUGGUCUGGCAUGAAGUAAUUGCACAUUCUAUGGUUACUUCAAAUAUUUUUUGCGAAUUUCUUCAGAUUAUUGCAGAAAUUGGAUGAAGACAAUCUGGAGGAAGUGUGGUUUGUUUUGGACAAUGUAAGCCUCCACAAAACCACAAAACUUGUUGGUCAGACAAGAUUAUUAUUUCUACCACCAUACUCUCCAAUGAUGAACCCCAUUGAAGUUUUUUCAAAAAUUAAGUUCUGCGCAAGAAAUAUUUUGGCUGAUCCAUCAAACCAUGAGCAUUUAGUAGAUGUUAUUGAUCAUUCUGUUGCAACUAUUACUCUUACAGGGUUGUCAUAAUUAUUUUAUGAAUAUGUAUACGAAACUACCAGGAGCAGCGGCAAGAAAACCGUUAUAAAUGAAGCUACAGUAAGUAUUUCUGAUGUUAAAAAAGUAUUUUAUGUUUAUUAUUAAAUACAUGCAAUAAAAUGUUUAAUUUUAAG
rnacentral:lncRNA from 1 species